UACGAAGGGGGCUAGCGUUGCUCGGAAUUACUGGGCGUAAAGCGCACGUAGGCGGCUUUCUAAGUCGGGGGUGAAAUCCUGGAGCUCAACUCCAGAACUGCCUUCGAUACUGGAAAGCUCGAGUCCGGGAGAGGUGAGUGGAACUGCGAGUGUAGAGGUGAAAUUCGUAGAUAUUCGCAAGAACACCAGUGGCGAAGGCGGCUCACUGGCCCGGUACUGACGCUGAGACGCGAAAGCGUGGGGAGCAAACAGG
rnacentral:rRNA from 1 species